rnacentral:tRNA from 1 species
GGUUCAUGGCUUAGUGGUAGAGCACUUGCCUGUCAUGUGUGAGGCACUGGGUUUGACUCUCAGCACCA